AUUGAACGCUGGCGGCAGGCCUAACACAUGCAAGUCGAGCGAGCGGCGGACGGGUGAGUAAUGUCUGGGAAACUGCCUGAUGGAGGGGGAUAACUACUGGAAACGGUAGCUAAUACCGCAUACUAUCAGAUGUGCCCAGAUGGGAUUAGCUAGUAGGUGGGGUAACGGCGCACCUAGGCGACGAUCCCUAGCUGGUCUGAGAGGAUGACCAGCCACACUGGAAGUGAGACACGGUCCAGACUCCUACGGGAGGCAGCAGUGGGGAAUAUUGCACAAUGGGCGAAAGCCGGAUGCAGCAAUGCCGCGUGUGUGAAGAAGGCCUUCGGGUUGUAAAGCACUGUCAGCGGGGAGGCGUUACCCGCAGAAGAAGCAACGGCUAACUCCGUGCCAGCAGCCGCGGUAAUAC
rnacentral:rRNA from 1 species